rfam:Nematostella vectensis strain CH2 x CH6 NEMVEscaffold_253_Cont20989, whole genome shotgun sequence.
CCUUCGAUAGCUCAAUUGGUAGAGCGGGGGACUGUAGAUUUAUAAUUGUGAUCCCUAGGUCGCUGGUUCGAAUCCGGUUCGAAGAA